rnacentral:snRNA from 1 species
GAAAAGGUGAAAAGGAGAGAUGAUUUCCAUCUCUCUUGACAAGGACGGAAACAAUUCUCAAAUCUGGU